UACGGAGGGUGCAAGCGUUAAUCGGAAUCACUGGGCGUAAAGCGCGCGUAGGCGGCUUGAUAAGUCAGAUGUGAAAGCCCCGGGCUUAACCUGGGAAUUGCAUUUGAUACUGUCGAGCUAGAGUAUGGUAGAGGGGGGUGGAAUUCCAGGUGUAGCGGUGAAAUGCGUAGAUAUCUGGAGGAACAUCAGUGGCGAAGGCGACCCCCUGGACCAAUACUGACGCUGAGGUGCGAAAGCGUGGGGAGCAAACAGG
rnacentral:rRNA from 1 species